UGUAAGCGUAUACCAAAGUUGUUGCAGUUAAAACGCUCGUAGUCGGACUUUGGCGGUUCCGGAAGUGUGCCGCGUCGUGCGGCCGCUUUGCAGGGACUGCUUUUGUGGGUUUCGCGUCAGAUGAGGGCUGUUAAUUCGGUAACGUCUGUACGCAACCACUUUUUACUGUGAGAAAAUCAGAGUGCUCAAAGCAGGCAUUUGCCGUGAAUGUAUUAGCAUGGAAUAAUAGAAUAGGACUUGGUUCUAUUUUGUUGGUUUGUUGGGACUGAGUAAUGAUUAAGAGGGACAGUUGGGGGCAUUUGUAUUUCGGUGCUAGAGGUGAAAUUCUUAGAUUACCGAAAGACAAACUGCUGCGAAAGCGUCUGCCAAGGAUGUUUUCAUUGA
rnacentral:rRNA from 1 species